rnacentral:rRNA from 1 species
CGGCUGUCGUCAGCUCGUGUCGUGAGAUGUUGGGUUAAGUCCCGCAACGAGCGCAACCCCCGUCCUUAGUUGCUACCAUUUAGUUGAGCACUCUAAGGAGACUGCCGGUGAUAAGCCGCGAGGAAGGUGGGGAUGACGUCAAGUCCUCAUGGCCCUUACGGGCUGGGCUACACACGUGCUACAAUGGCGGUGACAAUGGGACGCUAAGGGGCAACCCUUCGCAAAUCUCAAAAAGCCGUCUCAGUUCGGAUUGGGCUCUGCAACUCGAGCCCAUGAAGUUGGAAUCGCUAGUAAUCGUGGAUCAGCAUGCCACGGUGAAUACGUUCCCGGGCCUUGUACACACCGCCCGUCACACCAUGGGAGUUGGUUUUACCUGAAGACGGUGCGCUAACCCGCAAGGGAGGCAGCCGGCCACGGUAGGGUCAGCGACUGGGGUGAAGUCGUAACAAGGUAGCCGUAGGGGAACCUGCGGCUGGAUCACCUCCUUUCUAAGGAUGGU